rnacentral:rRNA from 1 species
GAUGAACGCUGGCGGCGUGCCUAAUACAUGCAAGUCGAGCGAACGGACGAGAAGCUUGCUUUUCUGAUGUUAGCGGCGGACGGGUGAGUAACACGUGGAUAACCUACCUAUAAGACUGGGAUAACUUCGGGAAACCGGAGCUAAUACCGGAUAAUAUUUUGAACCGCAUGGUUCAAAAGUGAAAGACGGUCUUGCUGUCACUUAUAGAUGGAUCCGCGCUGCAUUAGCUAGUUGGUAAGGUAACGGCUUACCAAGGCAACGAUGCAUAGCCGACCUGAGAGGGACGUCGCCCACACUGGAACUGAGACAGGGUCCCGACUCCUACGGGAGGCAGCAGUAGGGAAUCUUCCGCAAUGGGGGAAAGCGUGACGGAGCAAAGCCGCGUGAGUGAUGAAGGUCUUAGGAUCGUAAAACUCUGUAAUUAGGGAAGAACAUAUGUGUAAGUAACUGUGAACAUCUUGACGGUACCUAAUCAGAAAGCCACGGCUAACUCCGUG